rnacentral:rRNA from 1 species
CCCUACGUAGCGCACCAGCUCGAGCAUUUACAAUGUGGGAAAGCAUGAUAAGGAGUCCGAUCCAGAUCGAAUACUGGCUGUCCCUGGCCUGUAGCACAAUAGAAUGGGAAACC